UAUGUGUUGUUUGAGGCUGGUCUCUAUUCUCAAAUAUUUGAAAAUAAAUUACAAAAUACCUAUUCUGUCCUGGUGGUAAAUUUGAACUCAGUUUAUAUGUCAUCAAAAGAACUUGGGAGUGACCUGCGUUUUAAAUUCUCCUUGGAGGAACAUCUGGUCAGACGCAACAACGCCCCACACUCUUCAAAGCUAGCUAGCUGCUAAGCUAACGAAGCUAGCGCGGAGAAAGGCGGCGUCGGUCUGAAGGAAUCUGCUCCCCCGCACAUCGCGACCACUUCCCCGAAGCCAGCAAGAACUUGACUCGUUGAAAGAAAUACCACCGCAUUGCAACUCACUCCAUUUUCUACCGCUUAUUCCCUUCGGGGUCGCGGGGGGCACUGGAGCCUAUCUCAGCUACAAUCGGGCGGAAGGCGGGGUACACCCUGGACAAGUCGCCACCUUAUCGCAGUGCAACUCACUCCUUUCAGAUGAGGGGACACAGAGAGCAAGCGCAACUCGGCAUGCUUGAUGUCAUCGUUAUGCCCCAGCCAGCCAGCCAAGGAGGAACCAACUAUUCCGUCCGCCUUGUUCUGAGUGACUUGAAAGCAAUUUUGAAGACCACCGCCAAAAUUAUGCUGAACACGAUGUGGCCCUUGGCAAAGGCCUAGUACCUGACUGCCCCCUAGCCAGGGAUACGGUGAAGACCUCAACGGCGGAGCAGGCGGAAGACGGUAGAUGUAUGAACCACCACAACGGCUGCGAUGGCGGAAGAAGGCACCCCCACAUCCAUGUGGGCCCAGUUAUGGGGAAAUAACAACCCAAGAUCUCAACGGUGGAACAGGCGGAGGAUGAGAACCCUAUGGAGCGUCACAACGGCUGGGAUGGCGGCUGAAGGCUGCAGCAGAAAAGGGUCCCCAGUCGUCUUGGACUCCAUGCCACUGGACCUUGACCUGGAUCUGUCAAGGAUCGUGUGGUGACUCUCUGUGCACCAGUCUGCCCACGUUAAACAAAGUCACGCGGGAUGAUGAUAUAUAUAUAUAUAUAUACUGUAUAUCAUCAUCGUUAUUGGCUGUCACUCGAAUCGAGUAUGACGGUCCUUCUGGAAGGGGGAUAUCCCUUUAUGGAGGAUGCCUGUGCGUGACUUUGUAUGUAUUACAUGUGUGUGUAUAUACAGUAUAUACAUAUACAAACAUAUAUAUAUACGUACAUAUACAUACAUAUGUAUACAUACAUAU